GAUGAACGCUGGCGGCGUGCUUAACACAUGCAAGUCGAACGGGAAACCUUUUAUUGAAGCUUCGGCAGAUUUAGCUGGUUUCUAGUGGCGGCCGGGUGAUUAACGCGUGGGUAACCUGCCUUAUACAGGGGGAUAACAGUCAGAAAUGGCUGCUAAUACCGCAUAAGCGCACAGAGCUGCAUGGCUCAGUGUGAAAAACUCGGGUGGUAUAAGAUGGACCCGCGUUGGAUUAGCUGGUUGGUGGGGUAACGGCACACCAAGGCGACGAUCCAUAGCCGGCCUGAGAGGGUGAACGGACACAUUGGGACUGAGACACGGCCCAGACUCCUACGGGAGGCAGCAGUGGGGAAUAUUGCACAAUGGGGGAAACCCUGAUGCAGCGACGACGCGUGAAGGAAGAAGUAUCUCGGUAUGUAAACUUCUAUCAGCAGGGAAGAUAAUGACGGUACCUGACGAAGAAGCCCCGGCUAACUACGUG
rnacentral:rRNA from 1 species